GGCGGACGGGUGAGUAACGCGUAAGGAACUUGCCUCUUGGUCUGGGACAACUGUUGGAAACGACAGCUAAUACCGGAUAUUAUGAGAUUCUCGCAUGGGAAACUUAUGAAAGCUAUAUGCGCCAAGAGAGAGCCUUGCGUUCCAUUAGCUAGUUGGUGGGGUAACGGCCCACCAAGGCGACGAUGGAUAGCCGGCCUGAGAGGGUGAACGGCCACAAGGGGACUGAGACACGGCCCUUACUCCUACGGGAGGCAGCAGUGGGGAAUAUUGGACAAUGGACCAAAAGUCUGAUCCAGCAAUUCUGUGUGCACGAUGAAGGUCUUCGGAUUGUAAAGUGCUUUCAGUUGGGAAGAAGCAAGUGACGGUACCAACAGAAGAAGCGACGGCUAAAUACGUGCCAGCAGCCGCGGUAAUACGUAUGUCGCAAGCGUUAUCCGGAUUUAUUGGGCGUAAAGCGCGUCUAGGCGGAAAAAUAAGUCUGAUGUUAAAAUGCGGGGCUCAACUCCGUAUUGCGUUGGAAACUGUUUUUCUAGAGUACUGGAGAGGUGGGCGGAACUACAAGUGUA
rnacentral:rRNA from 1 species